CUGCAUUCACUAAUAGACUGGGAACAGUUUGUGGUUCUUUUGGUUUGCACUAGGAUGCAAAAGGAAAGAAUCCCUGUGCUUUCUGCCUAUCUUUGUAGCAGCUCAGAUUGAACUAGGGAACACAUCA
ensembl:snoRNA